GAUUAACGCUGGCGGCGUGCAUAAACAUGCAAGUCGAGCGCGGUGCGACUUCGGUCGCAUCUAGCGGCGCACGGGUGAGUAACACGUGAGCAACCUACCUUGGAGUCCGGGAUAGCCCUGAGAAAUCAGGAUUAAUACCGGAUGAUGUCAUCACCAGGCAUCUGGAGAUGAGAAAAGGCGCAAGCCGUUCCAAGACGGGCUCGCGGCCUAUUAGCUAGUUGGUGGGUAACGG
rnacentral:rRNA from 1 species